rnacentral:rRNA from 1 species
AUUGAACGCUGGCGGCAUGCUUUACACAUGCAAGUCGAACGGCAGCGCGGGCUUCGGCCUGGCGGCGAGUGGCGAACGGGUGAGUAAUACAUCGGAACGUGCCCAGUAGUGGGGGAUAGCUCGGCGAAAGCCGGAUUAAUACCGCAUACGACCUGAGGGUGAAAGCGGGGGAUCUUCGGACCUCGCGCUAUUGGAGUGCACCGAUGGCAGAUUAGCUAGUUGGUGGGGUAAAGGCCUACCAAGGCGACGAUCUGUAGCUGGUCUGAGAGGACGACCAGCCACACUGGGACUGAGACACGGCCCAGACUCCUACGGGAGGCAGCAGUGGGGAAUUUUGGACAAUGGGCGAAAGCCUGAUCCAGCAAUGCCGCGUGUGUGAUGAAAGCCUUCGGGUUGUAAAGCACUCUUGGCGGGAACGAAAAGGACUGUGCCAAUUUCUCGGUUGCGAA